GAUGAACGCUGGCGGCGUGCCUAACACAUGCAAGUCGAGCGAGGGUUUGCUCAGUAUUGAGUAUUCUAAGACUAGAAUGUUCAAUUCUGAGCAAAACCAAGCGGCGGACGGGUGAGUAACGCGUGGGUAACCUGCCCUAUACACAUGGAUAACAUACUGAAAAGUUUACUAAUACAUGAUAAUAUAUAUUUGUGGCAUCGCAGAUAUAUCAAAGUGUUAGCGGUAUAGGAUGGACCCGCGUCUGAUUAGCUAGUUGGUGAGAUAACUGCCCACCAAGGCGACGAUCAGUAGCCGACCUGAGAGGGUGAUCGGCCACAUUGGAAC
rnacentral:rRNA from 1 species